AUGGCCAGCAAGAAAGAAUCAGCUGGCACCCUGCUUCCCUUGCUUCCAUGCUGUGACAUAGUCAGCGGCAAUCCAUCUUUCACCAUUGGCUGCCUUCUCAGAGAUGCCAUACCGAUAGAUAAGAAGAUUAUAAAAUGGAAUGACGUGGAGAACAAUAAGGCCAGACAGCUGACAACAAUAGGCAAGGACAUCUCUGCAGUGACCAGCUUCAUGACCAUUAGCUCCUCAGAUUGGAAAAAUAAUAAAUUCACCUGCUCCGUUGGCGACAUGAAAAAGAAUCUGAAGGAAGAGUGUGAAAUCAAAAAGAUUGACGUCAAAAAGACCCCACCCACAGUGGAAGUCAUGCAGUCCUCCUGUGGUGAGAGUGGUUCAGUGGAUCUGGUAUGCCUCAUCAGCAAUUACACUCCUAGUGAAAUUUCCAUACAGUGGCUUUUGAAUGGACAGCUGACUUCCAUUUCUCCGACAAACACCACUCCAUAUAGAGAUGAUGUUGGAAACUUUGGAUCUAGUAGCAGAGUCAGUGUGCCAAAGGAGGACUGGAUUACUGGAGACGUUUACACAUGUAGGGUGAACCAUCCAGCAACUUCCUCAAAAAAUGAAGAUCUUAUAAGGAAGUGUCCAGAGAGUGGCACACAUCCAAAGGUUGUUCUCUUGCCGCCUUCCCCCAAAGACAUACAUGUCACCAAGGAAUUAAAACUCACCUGUGUGGUGUCUCAAAUGGAUUCACCAAGCUCUUUAAUCAUCAAGUGGACACGUAGUGAUGGCAAAAAAACUACGCCAUAUACCCCUGAGCCUGAACAACAGAAUGAUGGCACAUAUAAAUCUACAAGUACUUUGAGGAUAAAUUUAUCUGACUGGAAUUCCCAAAAAUCAUUCACCUGCAUCGUCCAACAUGAGGAAUUUCCAAUACCAAUAGAAAAAACGAUACAAAAAAGAGAGGAGGAAGGAACAGACCCAGUGAUUUAUAUUUAUCCACCGACACCAGAUGAACUUCAGUUGAAUGACUUUGUUACUCUUAUCUGUCUACUUAAACACUUCAACCCUAAGGAUAUUUAUGUCCAGUGGAAGAGGAACAAUGUUGUCCAGGGUGAAGACUACUAUAUAAACACAGAACCCAUGCGGGAUGAAGAUGAAGAAAACUACUUUAUGUACAGUAGAUUAGUCAUUGAGAAAUCUGACUGGAACAGAGGAUCCACAUAUACCUGCGUUGGUGUGCACAAAAACAUUACUUCCAAAGACAUAAAGAAAUCUAGGGGUAAAUGAUUCUUGUGCUUUCUCUUCCUGUCCAGAAGCUGAACUAGGCCCAAUAGCUUAUCCUUUUGUUCACCCGCUCUAUCAUUUUAAUCAUCACAUUUCAUCAGUUUGAUGUGUGGAACAUCAGCAAUCAUGUUUCAGUGCCACAAAUGCUAACGUGAUGCAAAUGUUCAAUCAAUGCAGUUUCCCCCAUUUAGAUGUUUCUUUUCUAAUGAACAGUAGUGCUCAUAAACCAAUACUACAUGUAUUUGUCAUGGGCAACCAAUGUAUUGGUCUGAUUGGCUACUAUGGUUUCAUCAAAACAUGGACCUAAAGUAAAUGCAGUGUUAGUAAGUGGUACGUCACUGGAAAUCAUAACAACAUUCCAUCACCUACUACUGUAUGAUACAGUUAUCUCUAGCGAAAAAACUGCAUUGUAUAACAUUGUUCAUUCUAGCUCCUAACAUGUGUUUUUCAUGUAAAACUGAGUUCUGUCCAGCGUAUAUCUCUUCCCGUAUGUCUAGUGUGUGGAACACUGGAUUUUACUUUGUGUCUGUUAUGUCGUGUGCAUUUAUUUCAAUAAACUCUUGUCUAUGACUAUAUCA